GAGGGUAUAGCUCUAGUGGUAGAGUGCAUGCUUAGCAUGCAUGAGGUCCUGGGUUCAAUCCGCAGUACUUCCU
rfam:Camelus ferus unplaced genomic scaffold scaffold946, whole genome shotgun sequence.